CGAGUGGCGAACGGGUGAGUAACACGUGGGUGAUCUGCCCUGCACUUCGGGAUAAGCCUGGGAAACUGGGUCUAAUACCGGAUAGGACGAUGGUUUGGAUGCCAUUGUGGAAAGUUUUUCGGUGUGGGAUGAGCUCGCGGCCUAUCAGCUUGUUGGUGGGGUAAUGGCUCACCAAGGCGAUGACGGGUAGCCGGCCUGAGAGGGCGACCGGCCACACUGGGACUGAGACACGGCCCAG
rnacentral:rRNA from 1 species